CUAGUAGUACACAGGUAUGCCUAGUAACGGCGAGUGAAGCGGCAACAGCUCAAAUUUGAAAUCUGGCGCAAGCCCGAGUUGUAAUUUGUAGAGGAUGCUUCUGGGCAGCGGCCGGUCUAAGUUCCUUGGAACAGGACGUCAUAGAGGGUGAGAAUCCCGUAUGCGACCGGCUUGCAUCUUCUCACGUAGCUCCUUCGACGAGUCGAGUUGUUUGGGAAUGCAGCUCUAAAUGGGAGGUAAAUUUCUUCUAAGGCUAAAUACCGGCCAGAGACCGAUAGCGCACAAGUAGAGUGAUCGAAAGAUGAAAAGCACUUUGGAAAGAGAGUUAAAAAGCACGUGAAAUUGUUGAAAGGGAAGCUCACGCAACCAGACUUGUCGGCGGUGUUCCGCCGGUCUUCUGACCGGUCUACUCGCCGCCGGCAGGCCAGCAUCACUUGGGAGCGCCGGAUAAAGGCGUGCGGAAUGUAGCCCCUCGGGGCAUUAUAGCCGCGCGCACAAUACGGCGCCUCCCGAGUGAGGUCCGCGCUUUGGCUAGGAUGCUGGCGUAAUGGUUGCUUGAGGCCCGUCUUGAAACACGGACCAAGGAGUCUAACAUCUAUGCGAGUGUUCGGGUGUCAAACCCCUACGCGGAAUGAAAGUGAACGGAGGUGGGAACCGCAAGGUGCACCAUCGACCGAUCCUGAUGUCUUCGGAUGGAUUUGAGUAAGAGCAUAGCUGUUGGGACCCGAAAGAUGGUGAACUAUGCCUGAAUAGGGUGAAGCCAGAGGAAACUCUGGUGGAGGCUCGCAGCGGUUCUGACGUGCAAAUCGAUCGUCAAAUUUGGGUAUAGGGGCGAAAGACUAAUCGAACCAUCUAGUAGCUGGUUCCUGCCGAAGUUCCCCUCAAGAAA
rnacentral:rRNA from 1 species